UGAAUGGCGGCGGCGGCCAGAGCUUGCAGGGGCCGGAUCCAUGCGUGGAAGGUGUUGGGGAGGCGGAUCCAGAGGUGGGCGGCGAGGCGGGAGCUCACCGGAGCCGGGCGAUGGAGGGAUCCGGCGCGAUGGCGUGAAGUCCUUGCAGGCGGAGGCGGGUCUUCAUGGCUGGUAGGCAGAGCUCUGUAGGUAUUGCCCCUUGCCCCUCUUUUCAGCCUGUUCUCUCUCUCUCUCUCUCAUGGUGAGCGCCGACGACGGGGAACGGGUAGUGCCCAGGGUGGAGCUUGGCGAGUGUGGAUGGGGGCAACGCGUACGUCGAGCACCCGCACAGGCUUGUCGGAGAGUGUACAACAUGGCAGGAAGAUUGUGUGGGAGGACAAUCGGCAGGGAGGCAGGAGAAUGAGCACGGAGUGCUGCUGGCGGAUCUCUGCCCUGACCUGGGUUGAGCAGCUGCACCGGGACAGACACAUGCAGCCGUUCGAGCUCUGGUGAGGGGGUGGCGGGGCCAUGUCGUGUGCCAGGCAAGGUUGAGGACGCCUGGGCCGCUGGUGAUGGAGUGGCGAGGCCGAUCUGGCCCUCUCUCUUUUGUUUCUCUGCAACCAGCACAGAGAAGCAGAAAGUUGCUGCUCUUAUGUCAUAUGACCUAACCAAUCUCUCUCUCUCUCUCUCUCUCUCUCUCUCUCUCUCUCUCUCUCUCUUCUCUUGAACUAGCACUAAAGGAGCCGACGCUGUUGGUAGCACUGAGAACGGAGGGAACAUCAAGUCAUUCUCCUCCUAGAAAACCAGAUGUAUAACCAUUUGUUGUUGUUCGGAUGGUGUCCACAGCGGCCAACUACACCUGGUUUGUGUGCUCUUUUUGUUAAAAUAAAUCCAUUCUUCAGUCCAUGCUAUUGUACGAGACCAUUUUUUGCUAUUCGGAUGGUGUCCACGGCGGCCAACUACAGCUGGCUUGUGUGCUCUUUUUGUUAAAAUAAAAUCCAUUCUCCAGUCCAUGCUAUUGUACCAGUUUGAUGUGGUGGUUGAAAAAUUAUUGAUUUUGUUUGGUUCCUUGAGACUGAGAGGCAAUAAUUUUGUUUGAUUAAUUUGUUGAAGCUACGCACACAUAUAUGGCUAAGCCCUAUUUGUUGUUUGUUGUUAUGCAAGCAAAGGAUUUCGUCCGGUAAAACACCCAGCAACAGGAGUUUCUAUAAUGCUGAUUGAUUCAGAAACCCAAACAGUAUGGGUGUAGUUCUUACAAUUAGAAUUUUAGAAUUACUAAUAUCCUUUUGUUCCAGUAUAAUUAUUUUUGCUGAGAACUUCUUUAAGAUGCUCUGCAUUCUCUGUGUGUGUAAUGCACUUUGUUAUUGGCGAUGACUUGUGGAUGGAUUAUGCCGGUUGAAUAAACAACAUCUUUGCACAAACUAACAUUGGCAACAUCCAGAAAUUGAGAAAGCUUCUUCUCUGUUAACAAAAUUGUCUACUCAGGACUGCAAUUGGUGUAGGAUUUUUGGGUGGCUCUGUGAAGUAGCAGGUCUAGCUCACUUGGCCUUAUCCUUUUAAAGAUUGUCGCGUUUCUCGUUGUCCAAAUGCUCCAGCAGCCAAGGGUGAUCUACUCCAUGUAAAAAGGUUUCUGCAUAGAGCCCUUCAGAGCAAUAAUCUAUUUAUUGGCAGAAGACAAAUUGGUUUGAUCAAAGGCAGGGAAUAAAUAUUCAGAAGACAAAUUGCAGACGACAACCCAGGUAUUGUUCACGUAGGUAUUCAAAGUGUAAUUAGUUGCCUUGAUUCGAUUCUUUUGGAAAUAAUUAGUCACACUUUUGACCCAAAGCGACAACAACAUGGCGUUGUAGCUCAUCAACUCCACUAUGGCUUCCAUUAGCAAGUUCUGGUAGCAAGCCAACUACAUGCUAUUGUAAUUGGGGUGCAGAAGAUGGAGGGGAAUGGUCACCGAUGACAAAAGUGCAUUGAGUGGUUGGCAUCCUAUGUAAUGGGUGUCAGCGACUAAUCUACCAUAUCUUAAUAAUAGUGAGCUCGAGAGUGUGGCUCCUGGGAAGUCAGGCAGGUGUUACCGUUGCCCGGAGCUCAAAUCGGCAAGCCUCUCCGAUUCGGACCUCCUCAUCGCCUUCUGCGCCAUUGUUGACGCAUACACACAGGCGCUCGAGAAGACCUAGCGCCGCGACAAUGAUGACACAUCCCCUAGCUAUAGAUGGCGGCCGCAGCGUAGAUCCCUUGGCCGGGUUCGAGAGUCGUUGCCCGCCCGAUGGCCAGCGCAUGACAUUUGAGGACUGCUCCACCGUGUGCUGGCUGCUCAACAGGCUCCAUGUCACCUUCCAGGAGCGCGACGUGUCCACCCACGCGCCCUACUGGGACAAGCUCCGCGUGCUGCUGCCGGGACAAACGGUUCCAUGUCACUGUCACAGCGGCUGUUCGCGGAUGGUAGGUACAUUGUUGGUUUUUUAGACUUGCAGCACUCUGAAAUUACAGUAGUUAGGACUUGCUUUUCUACUUCAAUUCCCAAUGUGUUAUGAACUUAUGAUAGGUUGUAAUCUUUGAACUUAGCAAUCAAAAGUAUUAGUAGGUAGUACAUGUUGUUUUACAGUGUACAGCUUCUUCACGGACAUUAUUCAGUAGCUGUAUCUUCUUACCAAAUUCAGUGUAAGUCUUGCCUCUUGAUGUGUUAUAAUCUCUACAGUAGGUGUAUUGUGAUUUUCCUUUUAAUGCAUAGAAUAGAAAGUUUAGUGUAAGCGUGAUUAUAAGCUUUAUUAGUCACUUUUCCCAUGUUUGACAAUACAUAAUAUAGGCAGAAGUAGUUUCUCCCAUAUUUUUUAUGGACAGUGUACCUGGGAUGUACCUGUGAUUCUAAGCUUUAUUAGUCAUAACAGACUCUAUUUCAUAUGAUUUUAAUUUCUUUUUCUUUUUAGUGUUAGCCAAAGCAUGUUGAUCAGGUGGGGCAUUAGCAUUAUCGAGAAGUAGUGAUCUGCAGGACACAAUCAUGUGAAAUUCAGAAGAUUUGAUUGCUAGGGAUCCGGCCUGGAUUGAUCUGCCAUGCUUCGCUGCAGGUUUAUCAUACAUAUAUAUCUCCUUGUAAUUUCCUAUUUUCUAGCUUUGAUCUCCUCCUCUUCUUCUUCCAUCUUUCUUUUCUGUUUUUUUUUGUUACAUAGAAGAGGUAUGUUUCCUAUUGCUGUACUUUUUCCCAAAUCUUUGUGUAGAGGGGUUAGGUACAGGUGGUCUAGGAUAGGGUAGUUCCACCAUAUGCUAUUGGGCCUCGCUAGAGUGCAUUUAUUUAGGGCUGGUUGUAAACGAUCUAAAAGUUGUACUGAUAUCCUUGACAUAAGAUUUGAAUAAAACUGUUUCAUUUUCGGCCGA